rnacentral:rRNA from 1 species
GAUGAACGCUGGCUACAGGCUUAACACAUGCAAGUCGAGGGGAAACGACGGGGAAGCUUGCUUCCCCGGGCGUCGACCGGCGCACGGGUGAGUAACGCGUAUCCAACCUGCCUCUGACUGAGGGAUAACCCGUCGAAAGUCGGCCUAAUACCUCAUGGCAUCGUCUGCGGGCAUCCAACGACGAUUAAAUAUUUCAUCGGUCAGAGAUGGGGAUGCGUCUGAUUAGCUUGUUGGCGGGGUAACGGCCCACCAAGGCGACGAUCAGUAGGGGUUCUGAGAGGAAGGUCCCCCACAUUGGAACUGAGACACGGUCCAAACUCCUACGGGAGGCAGCAGUGAGGAAGAUUGGGCAAUGGGCGAGAGCCUGAACCAGCCAAGUAGCGUGCAGGAUGACGGGCCUAUGGGUUGUAAACUGCUUUUAUGCGGGGAUAAAGUGAGGGACGUGUCCUUCAUUGCAGGUACCGCAUGAAUAAGGACCGGCUAAUUCCGU